CGGCAGACGGGUGAGUAACACGUAUGUGAUCUACCCCAGAGACGGGGAUAACGGGUGGAAACAUCCGCUAAUACCGGAUAGGCUUGUUCGGUCAAAGGGACAAGGAAAGGCUCCGGCGCUCUGGGAGGAGCCUGCGGCCCAUCAGCUAGUUGGCGGGGUAACGGCCCACCAAGGCAAAGACGGGUAGGGGGUGUGAGAGCAUGGCCCCCCACAAUGGGACUGGAACACGGCCCAUACUCCUACGGGAGGCAGCAGCAGGGAAUAUUGCACAAUGGACGGAAGUCUGAUGCAGCGACGCCGCGUGGAUGAAGAAGGCCCUCGGGUUGUAAAAUCCUUUACAGGGGGAAGAGGAAGGACGGUACCCCUGGAACAAGUGUCGGCUAACUACGUGCCAGCAGCCGCGGUAAGACGUAGGACACAAGCGUUAUCCGGAUUUACUGGGCGUAAAGCGUCUGCAGGCGGACAGGUAAGUUGGGCGUGAAAGCUCCGGGCCCAACCCGGAGAGGUCGUUCAAUACUGCGUGUCUAGAGGGUGUCCAGAGGGGAGUGGAAUUUCCGGAGUAGCGGUAAAAUGCGCAGAGAUCGGAAAGAACACCAAUGGCGAAGGCAGCUCCCUGGGGCAACCCUGACGCUAAGAGACGAAAGCUAGGGGAGCGAACAGGAUUAGAGACCCUGGUAGUCCUAGCCCCUAAACGAUGGAUGCUGGAUGUGCGGCCAUAGCGCUCCGUGUCGAAGCGAACGCGUUAAGCAUCC
rnacentral:rRNA from 1 species